UUAGAGGGUCUGCAGAGACUGCCUGU
rnacentral:piRNA from 1 species